rnacentral:sRNA from 1 species
CAUAGAGGAACGAAGGCUAAAAUCAUCACGUCCUGUGAUAACGCCUUUGUGACCAACAUCGGUGCUGUUGC